AUUGAACGCUGGCGGCAUGCUUUACACAUGCAAGUCGAACGGUAACAGGUUAAGCUGACGAGUGGCGAACGGGUGAGUAAUGCAUCGGAACGUGCCCGAUCGUGGGGGAUAACGCAGCGAAAGCUGCGCUAAUACCGCAUACGAUCUGAGGAUGAAAGCGGGGGACCGUAAGGCCUCGCGCGAUCGGAGCGGCCGAUGUCAGAUUAGGUAGUUGGUGGGGGAAAGGCUCACCAAGCCAACGAUCUGGAGCGGGUCUGAGAGGCCGACCAGCCACACUGGGACUGAGACACGGCCCAGACGCCUACGGGAGGAAGCAGUGGGGAAUUUUGGACAAUGGGGGAAAGCCUGAUCCAGCAAUGCCGCGUGCAGGAAGAAGGCCUUCGGGUUGUAAACCGCUUUUGUCCGGGGGUAACCGCGGGGACGUGUCCCCGCCUGCAAGUACCGGACGAAUAAGGGUCGGCUAACUCCGUGCCAGCAGCCGCAGUAAUAC
rnacentral:rRNA from 1 species